ACUUUGUCAACCGACUGAAAUUGAGACUUCUCUCCUUCUGCGAAGAAAACGAAGGAGGCAAUUGCUGCAAAUCGAAUCGAGGAAAACCUGGGUCCUAUGCAUGUCGAGUCGAAGCGAUGGAGCUCUGGAAAUCGAAUCGAAUCAACCAGCGAGAAGUAAAACAAUUCUCCGACGAAGACAAAUUCUCUUCUUGAGGACAAAUUUCGAGGGAUGUAUUCAUUUGGAAUGUCUCAUCAGGACAAAUUCUUAAGCUAAGGUAAGUGUCCUCUUCUUUGAAUCCAUAUGAUGUGUGGGAUUGAUGGUUUCUGUGGAAAGAUGAAUCAAUGCUUUCAAUUAGAGUUAGAGUUAGGUUUGCGAUGGAAAGUUAAUCAAUUUUCUGAGAUAGAAUUAGAGUUAGGUUUGAGCAGGAAAGUGACUCCUUACUAAAUGGUGGCUGCGUCGAUGAGUUUAAUGUUUGGUAGUUUAGUUUUAGGUGUAAUCUUUUGUUUGACAUGACUCCUAACAACACAAAGAGAAACUUCUUGCUCUAACUUAAAGCUAACAUAAUCAAUUAAGCCUUCAUCGAUUGUAAUAUCUAACAACAGAAACCUAUAGCCUUCAUUAACACCAUCCAAAACCAUUUAUUACCCUCUUUACCUCUCUUUUAUUCAUCUUUAUCCUUCUCUUUAGUCAUCUCUUUCAUUCUCCUUUUAUUCAUCUCUUUCAUUCUCCUUUGUUCAUUUCUUUCCUUCUCCUUUACUCAUCUCUUUUCUUCUCAUUUAUUCAUCUCUUUCUUUCUCCUCUAAACAGCCAUCGACGAAACAUAUGGAUUCAAGGAAUCCAUAUAUUGACUCUGGCUUCAUGGACCUCCUAAACAGUCAACAAAACACACAUACCCUUCAACCCAAUCCGUAUGAAAGUGUUUCACCAAGUAUUGAUCUUUGUGAUUCAGAGGCUACUGUGUUCGGAACUGAAUGGUGCGAUGGUGGAAGCUAAGGUGAGUGCAUGCCCAAAGAAGCUCCGAGGUCAAGAAAGAAAUGGAGUCCCGCAGAGGAUCUAAUCCUCAUAAGCGCUUGGCUUAAUACAAGUAAAGAUCCCAUUGUUGGGAAUGAGCAGAGAGCAGACACGUUUUGGAAAAGGAUAUCCAUGUAUUACUCCUCAAGUCUGAUGCUAGCAGGUAUAGAAAAGAGACUCCCAAGUCAAUGGAAGCAAAGGUGGUGUAAGAUCAAUGAAUCUCUCUGUAAAUUCGUCGGCUGCUAUGAGGCUGCAUAAGCUCAAAAAAGAAGUGGUCAAAACGAAAAUGAUGUGAUGAAGCUUGCUUAUCAGAUUUACUUGAAUGAUCAAAAGAAGAAGUUCACUUUGUAACAUGCUUGGAGAGAGCUAAGGCAUGAUCAAAAGUGGCUUCCCAAAGAAGGAAAUGGAGGGGCAAGUAAGCGAAGAAAGACAGAGGAAGCAUCUUCAACAGCGCGUAGCCACGGAGGAGAAGAAGCUUUGACGCGUCCUCCAGGUGUGAAGGCUUCGAAGGCAAAAGGGAAAAAGCCUGUCACUACCGGGGAGGGAGAAAAGUCGGAUAUGGAUUUUGGAACCAUGUGGGAGAUAAGAAUUCAAGAUUUAGCCUUGAGAGACAAGCUAAGUAAGCAGAAGAUGUUGAAGAGUCUUCUUGCUAGAACAGAUCCAUUAUCUGAUGUAGAAGUAGCUUUAAAAAACAAGCUAAUAACUGAAAUGUUGUGAAAUGCCUAAACCGCAUUCUUCUUUUUUAUGUUUCAAAUCCUUGUAUGUUCUUCCUUUAUUUAAGUCGGUUUACGUUUGAUAAGUUUUAGGAGUAGCAAAUGCAUGUAUGGUGUCUUAUGUUUCGAAUCAGUUAAUGUUUUUAAUGUUAUGGUGUUUGAGUAUUGGUUUUGAUCUUUUGAAUAUCAGUUAUAUAUUGUUAUGGUGUUUGAGUUUAUUUUGGUUUUGAUAUUAGUUAUGCUUAUCUAUGUCUUUUAUGAUUUAUGAGAAUAUUGACUUCAGAUAUGUACAUGGUCUGUGGCAUUAUGGGAUUCUUGGUCGUCCAUUAAGUUAAGAUCAUGGGAAACUUGGGCCAAGCAAAUGCUGUGUGGUUGAUGCAAUUGAUGAAUACCUCCGGCUAGGUGAAAGUACUGCAAUCUUAUGCUUGGUAAAUUUUGUGGAAAGAAUAAUAUAUUUGUCCGGAGAUGAAUACCUCAGAAGACCGAGACCAGAAGAUCUUCAACGACUGCUUGAUAUUGGAGAGUUAUGUGGAUUUUCCGGGAUGAUAGGAAGCAUCGAUUGCAUGCAUUGGGAGUGGAAGAAUUGUCCCAGAGCUUGGAAAGGGCAAUAGACACGUGGUUCUAGAAAACCAACAAUUGUUUUAGAGGCUGUACCUUCACAAGAACUAUGGAUAUGACACACAUUUUUUGGACUUCCAGGUAUCUUAAAUGAUAUCAAUGUUCUUGAACGCUCACCAGUUUUUGAUGAUAUAUUACAACUUAAAGCUCCAAAAGUGAAUUACUUUGUUAACGGACAUCAGUAUCAUUUGGCGUACUAUCUCACUGAUGGAAUUUACACUAAAUGGGCUACAUUUGUCCAAUCUAUUCAACUUCCAAAAGAUCCAAAAUCAGCAUUAUUUGCUACAUGUCAAGAAUCUGUCCGUAAAGAUGUCGAGCGUGCUUUUGGAGUAUUUCAAGCUCGUUUUGUUAUUGUCAAAAAUCCAGGGAUAAAGCAAAAAUAGGAAAGAUUAUGCGAGCAUGUAUAAUUCUUCACAACAUGAUAGUUGAAGACGAACGGGUUGCGUACACGCAGUUUAAUCCUGAUGAACUCACACAAGUAAAGGCAAACAGAACUUCGCAAGUGGAUUUAGCGUAUGAAACACAUAUCCCAUCAAAUAUCAGAAAUUUGAUGGGCAUUUGAACUCGAGUUCGUGAUAGAAGUAUGCAUCAACGAUUGAAAGAAGAUUUAGUUGACCACAUAUAUGGAACAAAUUUGGUACAAAUCAAAAUUCCAACUAAUCUUUUCCGGUUUAUGUUUUGUACUUCUGUUUUUUAUUUAUGCAUUUCUAUAAUGUAUGUUUACAAUUUCAAUAAAUUAAAUAAUUUCUAUUUAUAAAAUUUUUACAAUUUUUUUUAAGAACUCCUGACUUCAGAACUACCCAUUGGAAGCUUAAAAAGUUUUUUUAAAAAUGUAUAUAUGGGUGUAAGUAACACAAAAAAUAUUUAAAAAAUUGGUGAGCACCCCAUAAUAGGGUCGCUAACCAUUGGAGAUGGUCUAAUGAGUAGUUCUCUAGUGCAACAUACUAGAGGUUGAUCCCCGAGCUUUGCACAGAGUUAUUUUAUAUAUAUAUAUAUAUAUAGAUAUGAAGACAACAAAAUACAUAUAUAUAUAUGCUUUUUAUUAGAAAAUAAUUUAUUUAUUAAUUUUCUAUUCUUAGUUAAUAGUUGGU